UACUAGGGCAAAUCUGCUGAAAGACAGAGACGCAAAGCUACAGGGCCUAAACAUACAUUGUAGGGUAGCCAGCUGCA
rnacentral:ncRNA from 1 species